GAUGAACGCUGGCGGCGUGCUUAACACAUGCAAGUCGAACGAAGCACCUUAUUCUGAUUUCUUCGGAAUGAAAAAUUUGGUGACUGAGUGGCGGACGGGUGAGUAACGCGUGGGUAACCUGCCUCAUACAGGGGGAUAACAGUUAGAAAUGACUGCUAAUACCGCAUAAGACCACAGCACCGCAUGGUGCAGGGGUAAAAACUCCGGUGGUAUGAGAUGGACCCGCGUCUGAUUAGGUAGUUGGUGGGGUAACGGCCUACCAAGCCGACGAUCAGUAGCCGACCUGAGAGGGUGACCGGCCACAUUGGGACUGAGACACGGCCCAAACUCCUACGGGAGGCAGCAGUGGGGAAUAUUGCACAAUGGGGGAAACCCUGAUGCAGCGACGCCGCGUGAGCGAAGAAGUAUUUCGGUAUGUAAAGCUCUAUCAGCAGGGAAGAAGAAAUGACGGUACCUGACUAAGAAGCACCGGCUAAAUACAUGCCAGCCGCCGCCGUAA
rnacentral:rRNA from 1 species